CACCUGCCUAAUCAGCGUCUUGUAGAUAAUCAACUUCGUACGGCGGCGAAUUUUGUUCGACCGGAGCGUCCUCCGCAGUCCAAAGUAGGCACGAUUUCCCGCCAAGAUCCGUCUCUGUGAAUUUCUCUGCGGGUAUCAUGGUCGGCGGUUACCAGUGAGCCCAAAUACACGAAUUCGUCGACCAUCUCGAUUUCGUCACCGUCAAUCCGAACUCGGAAUGGGAGGUUCACAUUGUCGUCUCUAGAACCUCUUCCUCUCAUGUAUUUUGUCCUCGAAACGUUGAUGGCAACUCGAAUCUUGCUGGCUUCAGCUUUCAGUCUGAUGUACAUUUCUGACAUCUCCAUCGACUUUGAGUUCCGUGCCAUUAUGUCAAUGUCGUCGGCGAAGCCAAGAAGCUGGACGGACUUUCUUAAGAUCGUGCCACUCAUGUCUAUCACCGCCCUCCUUAUUACACCUUCUAACGCAACGUUGAACAGCAGGCACGAUAGACUAUCACCUUGCUGUAACCCUCUUCGAGAUUCAAAGGGACUCGAGAGUGUCCCUGAUAUUCGAACAACGCACAUCACACGAACCAUCGUCGCUUUGACUAAUCGUGUUAGCUUAGCCGGAAAACCGUACUCGUGCAUUAUCUGCCAUCCCCAAGCAACACUUGUAACAUGUAAUGGCUGCAGUUUGUUGCAUAACCAUAAACUUUUGCUGGUGCGCUUUUUCAGUUGCUAAAUCAGUUGAAACCAUUUAUGUACGCUUCUUUUCAACAAGUUUUGUUGUAGAAACUGCUAAUCAACAAGCGGUGUUGCUCGGGAAGCUGCUCUCGAUCGAUUUGAAAUCGGUGAACAAAUGAUGUGUGGGCACGUUGUAUUCGCAGUACUUCUGCAGUGUCACCCAGCCGCCCAAUUUUUGCAGUGCGAACGACGGGAGGUUCUCCGAGCAACUGUCGUAACUCGUGAUUCAUACGCCGUCUCCAAAUUUCGAUAUUCAUUCACAACAUCUGUCUUCUGUAAAAAAAAAACUGAGAGCGCGUUGGUUCUACGCCACCAUACUCUGGUUUCGUCAACCUACACCAUACUCGUUGGUUUCGUGGCCGUAGGGGACAACCGGUCUAAUGAACGUUUUAUAGAUGUUUGGACUCGUGUGGUACUUUGUUCGACCGAAAGGUUUUUCGAAGCUCAAGGUAAGCACGAUUGCCUACAUGAUUACGCCUCAAACUCUUCUGCGUCCACCUUUGAGGAAAACCAUGUACGGUCGUCAUAGCGCAGUUGCCGGACUUCAGCGGGUUUUCAAUAGAGUUACACCAGCAUUUGUCACAAAAUACGAUUAAAAAUAAGUGUUUGUCUAUCAUGAAGUGCAACUAGAUUAAGUACCACAAUUGGGAUCAAGGGGGUAUUUUGGUUCAAAUACAAAAAAUAAAAAUAUCGCGUGAUGUCAACGUUGACGGUGAAGCCAAAAAGCUAAACAGACUUCCGGAAAAUCGCACCACUCGUGUCAAUCCUCGCUCUUCUUAUCACGCCUUCCAAAGCGAUACUGAACGGAAGACAAGAGAGUCCAUCAUCUUGCCGUAGCCCUUUACGAAUUUGUGUUCCAGAUACUCGUACGUAAUAGAUCACUCGAUCCAUUGUCACUUUGAUGUCGUUCAGUUUGUAUGGGAACUAGUACUUAUUUAUUAUAUGCCAUAGCAGGUGAUGAGUAGGCACGUUCUAUUAGCGACAUUUUUGUAGGACUUGUCGAUUCCCGAAUAUUGGCUUUGUAGUGACGUGUGCAUUAGUGAGACCCUCUUGAUAUUGUCCUAAGAACUCCUUUGCUAACGGUAACAGGUGGAGACAAAGAAUUUGGGAGAGCACCUUGUAGGCGGCGUUAAACAAAGUGAUUGCCUUGGUAGUUGCCACAAUCCAGUUUGUCAUCCAAUUUAUAGAUAGGAAUUACUACUCCCUCUAACGAAUACUUCGGUAAAGUCUUCUGGUACCAGAUAUUCGGAAUCACCCAGUGGAGCGUUCUAUCCAAUGCUUCUCCCCUGUGUUUGAGCCGCUCUCAUGGCAGUUGAUCAUUGCUAGAUGAUCGCACUGCGAUAAGUGCGAACAUGUGUGAUGUCGAAGAGGAAUUUCUCUUUGAUUAGAACGUGGUAUGUGGGGAAAAAAGCUGCUUCGGACUACAAUUGCUCGGGAGGCUUCGAAGUUCACGCAUCGUUAGUGGUUAUCAUUUGAAACGAUGCGAAGCAUGAUCCAACUACCUGGACACCAAUAUUGUACGGCGAAGAAGAAGGAGCAAACACGGACGAUUGGCAAGCGACUAACGACAAGCUCGCAAAAAGAUGGGUAAAACAGUACCUCCCGAACUAUCUGGGCGUUCUCGUAGUCAACAUCUUAACUCCUCGCCGAGGGCAGUUGUAGACACGAUCCAACUGCGCGUAAAAUGCAUCUUUCUCGUCCUCCUGUCUCGAUAAGUGAAGUCAAUGCACGACGAUAAUGCUGUAGUUGAACAAAAGGUUUUUAAUAUUCACUACACACAUACUUUCGAUAAUCACCUGUCAUUUGAUAACGCAUUAACGUAUCUUGCCCAACACAACAAUGGUUACCACCUCAGCUCAUUUGUUGUGCCACCGCUCUGGUAGAAUGUAGUCCAUUGUCCACACCUUCAGUUUCCGUCAAAGAACGUUCCUGCAAUGUUAUGCAAUGAAGCGACUUGUAGUUCCAAGUUUCCAAUUGUAGUCCUUCUUUCGUCGCGUUGGUCUUUGUCGAUUGUUUUGUUUCAAACGAUAGUUUAGGUAUUCAUACGAAUUUUGAAACCGAGUCUUAUGCGUCUGUUAUAUGCGGUUUAUCUAACAAACACACUACCCAUAAUCGCACAUUUAUCUCAUGUUCUAUGGGAUUUAGUAUUGACUUUCGAUUAUAAGCAGUGCAUAACUGUGAUAUGUAAGUAAAGCAAAAACUAAUUUUAUGUUUCUCUUCUUUCGUCCUAACAGUGUACCGUUCUUAAAUCAUGUGGUGAAGAAACUGUGAUUGCCAUCAAGAACAACACAGCUGCCGACAAAAACUAAUACCUCGCCCGUUGCUUACUACAACAUCCCGCGAAUUGCAACCACACGACACACAGAUAAGAGUAAUCAAAACAGAAAAGUUCAGCAAAAUUCAACUACUACUUACUACUAUUGAGCUACAACAAAAACAACACAGUCACGACAGAGGAAUCUAUUAUUGCAAAAAAACGUUCCUCCCCUUCUAUUCACAAUUUGAGAAAUAAAACCAGACAAAAGAUCAGACUCAUUAACAGCAAGAAGAAACACUCAAAUACACAAACACACACACACACAGUUACAACUCUUAGUAUACAGCUAUUAUUGCAAAUUAAAGGAAAACCAAUAUUAAGAUAAUACUUUCUGGAUAAAGUAAUCAAACGAGGUGAGAAGACCAUUACGCAGCAGCAAAAAAUACACACUCAAAAACUAAGCAGCGGCUUUCACGAGACGAGACACACAUACACAACCAAUCCAUGUCGGGUGCAGAGAAUGAGAGAGAGCGAGAGACAGACACAGAAGAGCGCGUGUUCAGCGUUGGUAAGAGCAAGAGAAAAAGUUCCCCUUUUUUGUAAACUGCUACAACAAAAACCAACGUCAGAAGGGCAAGAAAAAUCGAAACACAUUAAUUAUUAUAAUAAAUUUAAAGAAAAACAAAAACCAAUAUAAUAUAAUAAAAAUAUUAUAAUAAUUUAAUGCAAACAAGAAACAAAAUCAAUAAUUGAAGGAAAUUAUCCGUGACACACACACAAAAGGCAGAAUGCAUUCAGAACACUCUAGGUAGCGAGAUUACAAGCAAAACAAGGAGAAGGGCUGACAAACAUCUUAUUCCAAACGCGAAACAAAAUUUAACAGAAUGCUAUGUUGAAUAAAAUAUUUAAUUUUCUAACAAAAAAAAGAAGAGAAAACUACGUUGUCAACACAAAACAAUUGGCUUAUUUCGAUUCAAAGAAAGCUCAUGAAGGCAGUUGCUAGACAAAACUGUCAUUAAAUAACACUUAGGUAUUGGUCUCUGCUGCCAUGUUGGAAGAAAUGAUCACUCACUGUUGAUUUAGGAUGGUAAUUCUGCGUACGCUUGUGACAAAAGUCGUCUUCUUCAUUAGAUCCAACCCAUCACGGCACACACGCUGACUCCGAAGCAGUGUAGUAGAAGAGUGUGGUCAUCCGAUGCCAAAUGCACGAAAAACAGGAAAACAAUACAAUUGAUCAUCGAAGAUGUACAGCGUGCAUGAAAUAUGCUAAAACCCCCUUCCAACCCAGCAAGCAAGCAGUCCCCCAAUGAAAAGAGUGUUCCGAUGCCGGCAAUUACGGACACGACUAAAUGCGCGAAAGGUUUGGAGAUUCAAGAUGGACAAGAAAACAAAUACCGGCUACUAUAAGUGAAUUAGGAAGAAAAUAAUUGAAGUGGGAAACAAAGAUGACUAUUAAUUAAUAAAAAAAACAAAAGAAGAAAAUAAAAACUGUAAUAGGAUAACUAAAGAAAUUAAUACUGAAUGUAACAACAACAAAACAAGAAUGCGUUGAAUGUUAUUAUAUAAAGGAAGCAAUCUUUUCUACAAUCCUAUUGGUUAGUGACAACAGAGGUUCAGCUAAAAAUUUAGUUCGUAUUUAUUUUCGUUUCAAAACAGUAUCAAUUCUCUGUAUAUUGUAGUUUUAACCAGUUUAUUAAAAAUAGCUCAUACAGGUUUUGGUUUUAUACCUUGUACUCAAAAUUUUUUCACACUGCCCUUUCUGUCACACGUAAAAAACGCAGUUGAAGCCUAAUCUGUUUGAAAAUUCCUCACUGUCGGAAUAAAAGUUUGUUUCUUCGAGAUGGUAACAAAGCAAAAAUUUUAACGUACAUACAUGAGUUGGCAUUUAUUUUAGAUAGUUUCAGUUUAGUUUUAAAGCAGUGCUAAAAUAAGACUUAGCAAACUAACAAAAAGCAAACAAAUCUAAAGGAAAUAGUACCGCGCUUACAGACUUAAUCCGGCUGCUUCUUAUUUUUGUAAUAAUAUCGGCUCAGCAGAAAUCAAAGAUGCUGAACAGAAGCACACAAAUGCAUGCAAAUGACAGUCAAAAGUUGUUGGUAAAACGAAAAAAAACAAACCUAAGAAAAAAUGUUUUUGACGGUGAAAACGGCGAAAUAAAUUCGAAAAAUGAAAUACAAACCUGGAA